rnacentral:rRNA from 1 species
AUUGAACGCUGGCGGCAGGCCUAACACAUGCAAGUCGAACGAGUGGCGGACGGGUGAGUAAUGUCUGGGAAACUGCCUGAUGGAGGGGGAUAACUACUGGAAACGGUAGCUAAUACCGCAUACCAUCAGAUGUGCCCAGAUGGGAUUAGCUGGUUGGUGGGGUAACGGCUCACCAAGGCGACGUUCCCUAGCUGGUCUGAGAGGAUGACCAGCACCACUGGAACUGGGAAACGGUCCAGCCCCCUCCGGGAGGCGGCAGUGGGGAAUAUUGCACAAUGGGCGAAGGCCUGCUACAGCCAUGCCGGGUGUAUGAAGAGGGCUUUCGGGUUGUAAAGUCCUUUCAGCGGGGAGGCGUUACCCGCAGAAGAAGCACCGGCUAACUCCGUGCCAGCAGCCGCGGUAAUAC